CUGCCGUGGAUAAGUGUUGGGCAGCACAAGGCCAGCUGGAUCUUUGAAACCAACAGAGCCAGCAAUGAGAUCUUCACUUGGGAUGAGAAUUGCCUCCCCUGGAGCUAGGUCAGCAAAUGCAGUCUGUUUGUCAGAGCUAAGAGAUCCAAAUUUCCAUCUGGUAGUAUUUUCCCUGGACUAAAGAACUACUUUUAAAAUUUCUUGAGUGCAGAUCUGCUGGAAUUCUCUUAUGCAAUUACGGAGGCGAAGAAGUCCCAUAAUCUGCCAUCUGCAACCUGGAGAAACCAGGAAAGCCAGUGGUGCAAUUUAAUGUGAGUCUGAAGGUCUGAGAUCCCGCAGCACUGAUGUCUGAGGACAGGAGAAGAUGAAUGUCUCAUCUCAAGCAAAUUCACCCUGCUUCUGCUUUUUUGUUCUAAUCAGGCCCUCAAUGAAUUGGAUGAUGCCCACUAACAUUGAUGAGGGUAAUCUUCUUUACUCAGUCUACUUAUUCAAAUGCUAAUCUCUUCUGGAAACACUCUCACAGACAAACCCAGAAAUGAUAUUUUACCAGCCAUCUGGGCAUCCUUUAGCCCAGUCAAGUUGACAUAUAAAAUUAACCAUCA